AAGGACUGUGACCAUGUGGCCAGUGCCCAACUGAGGAAACAGAUCCGCCUCUGUACUUGGCCCACACCCCUCCCCAGCUGCUCCCUCCCAGGAGAGCCCAGGUGGCAACACCCAGGGCCACCCUGGAAGCCUCAGGAGGACAGCAAGACCACCAUCAGCCAGGCCCCAGGUGACCACUACCCAGCUACAGUUCUCAAAAGAAGCCCAUUUCCCUUCUGCUUAGGGUGUUAUGCCAAGUUCUAUUACGUCUGGGCAAUUGAACUUAGGUCCGCAGGGCGCAGCGACGUCCUCUUCUCAUCCCAAUGACUCAGGAGGCUGAGUCAAGAGAAUUACAAGUUCUAGACCAGCCUCAGCAACUUAGCAAGACCCGUCUCAAAAGGGCUGGGAUGUUGCUGAGUGUUAGGGUGCUCCUGGGUUCAGUUCCCAGUACCAAUAAGUGAAUAAAUAAAAUAUCUGUCUUAGGUUAGAUCAUUAGUCCCAGCUCUUUCUUUCUCUCUUUCACAGUCCUGGGCAUUGAACCUAGGGGCACUCUAACACUGAGCUACACCCCAGAAUUGUUCUCUUUUAUUUUGAGACAGGGUCUCGCUAAGUUGCCCGGGCUGUCCUUGAACUUCAGAUCCUCCUGCCUCAGCCUACCAAGUGGCUGGGAUUACAGUUGUGCAACACUGUGCCUGACUCUUGUUCACAGUUCCUGAAUUUUACAUCCACCUCCUUCCUGUGGCCUUUGGGAAGGCAACGUUGGGCUUGGCAGCGUGGCUGGCUCUGGCCAGUGUGCUCUUACCCAUUGUGAAGUGGGGGCAAAGGUUUGGAAUUUGCUGUCCAAUUUGGCCUUGUUCUCUUGAAUGCCUGGAGUCCACCAUGAGAAGGCUGCAC
rnacentral:lncRNA from 1 species